rnacentral:rRNA from 1 species
AGUGAACGCUGGCGGUAGGCCUAACACAUGCAAGUCGAACGGCAGCACAGUAAGAGCUUGCUCUUACGGGUGGCGAGUGGCGGACGGGUGAGGAAUACAUCGGAAUCUACUUUUUCGUGGGGGAUAACGUAGGGAAACUUACGCUAAUACCGCAUACGACCUACUGGUGAAAGCAGGGGAUCUUCGGACCUUGCGCGAUUGAAUGAGCCGAUGUCGGAUUCGCUAGUUGGCGGGGUAAAGGCGCACCAAGGCGACGAUCCGUAGCUGGUCUGAGAGGAUGAUCAGCCACACUGGAACUGAGACACGGUCCAGACUCCUACGGGAGGAAGCAGUGGGGAAUAUUGGACAAUGGGCGCAAGCCUGAUCCAGCCAUACCGCGUGGGUGAAGAAGGCCUUCGGGUUGUAGAGCCCUUUUGUUGGGAAAGAAAAGCAGCAGGUUAAUACCCCGCUGUUCUGACGGUACCCAGAGAAUAAGCACCGGCUAACUUCGUG